CGACAGACAUGGCUCUUCAAGACGGACCUCGUCUGACAGUCAAUGAUGUGGACAGACUUGUCAGGACAUCAUGCCCCACUCCCUCCAGCAAACGGGAAAAGGAAUUUAAGAUGUAUAUCGGCAGCAACAUCGACAAUUAUGAGGCUAAACAUCCCUGCUGCAUCCCCAGUACACAGCUGCACAGAUCCUGAGCAGUUCUGGCAUAAACCAAGGACACUGGAUUUCUGUGGCGAGAUCCUUAUAGGGUUCAUCAAGAGAAGGCAG